rnacentral:rRNA from 1 species
UGCCUAACAACAUGCAAGUCGUACGAGAGUUUUUUACUCAAGUGGCGGACGGGUGAGUAACACGUGAGAAUUUGCCUUUAGGAGAGGGAUAACAAUUGGAAACGAUUGCUAAUACCUCAUAUGCUUGAGAGUGAAAUAGAAAUAUCUGCCUAAAGAAAAGCUCGCGGCUGAUUAGCUAGUUGGUAAGGUAAUGGCUUACCAAGGCGACGAUCAGUAUCUGGUUUGAGAGGACGAUCAGACACACUGGAACUGAGACACGGUCCAGACUCCUACGGGAGGCAGCAGUGGGGAAUUUUCCGCAAUGGGCGAAAGCCUGACGGAGCAAUACCGCGUGAGGGAAGACGGCCUAUGGGUUGUAAACCUCUUUUUUCAGGGAGGAAUAAAUGACGUGUGCCUGAAGAAUAAGCAUCGGCUAACUCCGUGCCAGCAGCCGCGGUAAGACGGAGGAUGCAAGUGUUAUCCGGAAUCACUGGGCGUAAAGCGUCUGUAGGU